rnacentral:tRNA from 1 species
GGGUAUAGCUCAAUGGUAGAGUGUGUGCUUAGCAUGCAUAAGGUCCUGGGUUCAAUCCCCAGUACCUCCA